rnacentral:misc_RNA from 1 species
GUUGAGAUCUUGGAGCAAAUUUGAAGUUGGAUUAAUUUUAUGAGCAUUGUGUCAAUAUGGGAAAACAAGGGCCUUGUUAUCAUUGUGGCACUAAUAGCACUCCACUAUGGAGAAAUGGGCCACCUGAGAAGCCAGUGUUAUGCAAUGCCUGUGGAUCAAGGUACAGGAUUAGAGGAAGUCUUGCAAACUAUACACCUAAGCAUGCCCAAGGACAACCAAC